rnacentral:rRNA from 1 species
CAAUAGCGUAUAUUUAAGUUGCUGCAGUUAAAAAGCUCGUAGUUGGAUCUCGGGUGGGAAUGGCCGGUCCGCCGUUUCGGUGUGCACUUGCUACGCCCACCUUACUGCCGGGGACGUGCUCUUGAGUUCACGCUCGGGACACGGAGUCGGCGAGGUUACUUUGAGUAAAUUAGAGUGUUCAAAGCAGGCCUACGCUCUGAAUACAUUAGCAUGGAAUAACACGAUAGGACUCUGGCCUAUCUUGUUGGUCUGUAGGACCGGAGUAAUGAUUAAGAGGGACAGUUGGGGGUAUUCGUAUUCCAUUGUCAGAGGUGAAAUUCUUGGAUUUCUGGAAGACGAACUACUGCGAAAGCAUUUACCAAGGAUGUUUUCAUUAA